CGCGUGCGUUUCUUCUGAAUCGCCGCAAAAACGUCCGCGCCCGCUCGCCUGAAAGCAGCCCCACGCGCGGAGCACGGAGGCGCGGGAUGCCAGCCGAGGCCCGCUGUGGACUUUAUUGUCCCCCUGCAUCUGCGAGGGUCUAGAAGCUCCACAUACUAACGACUGAUUUCCACACGGGAGAACCUCCAAGGUCACAGUCUGAUCGGUCCGCAGAUAGGAACAGUGAAGGCCACCUUAGCAAACUCCCUCCACUUUUAUUUCACUUCAUAUGUGUGUCUGCAGGCUUUGUUUGUCAUGUAUUGAUGAUGUCAAUCAAUCAGGGAGACAGUCUCACUCUGUCACCAGGCUGGAGUGCAGUGGCACCAUCUCAGCUCUCUGCAACCUCCACCUCCCGGGUUCAAGCGAUUCUCCUGCCUCAGCCUCUGGAGUAGCUGGGAUUUCAGGCACGCACCACCACGCCUGGUUCAUUUUUGUAUUUUUAGUAGAGGCAGGGUUUCACCACAUCGGCUAGGCCAGUCUCAAACUCCUGACCUCAAGUGAACUGCCUGCCUCAGUCUCUUAAAGUGCUGUAAUUACAGGCGUGAGCCACUGCACCUGACCAAGAGUCACAUUUUGAAAUCAGUCACUGGAGCAUCUGGUACCCACAUCUUCCCACGGGAGAGGAAUGGGCUGGAGUGGACAAGUGUUGCUGAUAGUAAGAAAAGUAUCAGGGUCACCAACACCGUUUACAAGCACCUGUGUUUCAUAUGAGGAAAGCCCGAGGCUGAAUACCUGGUGGCCCAGCAGGGAAGGGGGCAGGAGCCAAGCAUGUCUUCACUUCUCGCCCCUUCGGCUUCCCCGUCAGGCCACUGGUCAGGCACUGACAUGCCCCUGACUUGACCCUCUCUGCUUUGGGGCUCAGUGUUCCCUGCUCCAGCUCAGUUUCACAAAGGACCCCACAUAAAUGGGGGGGCUCAUGAGAGGACCAGCUCUUGCCCAGGAAAGUCACUGCCAUGCCCACCUGUAGCCGGGACCAGAGUUCUCGUGCCUCUCGGUCAGCAUAGUCCUUUUCAAUGAGGUCCAGCUGCGCCUGGAGCCGGUGCCGGGCAAAAAAGGUCGGCCAGUCAUCCUGCCAUUCAUUCACCUGGCAACAAGGGGAAAGAGAGUGCUGCAGCUGGGAGCCAAGUGCUGCCCAAACCGUGGAGGGACUGAUUAAAACACACCACGGACGGCUAGUAAGCCAGCAGAGGAGGUGAGACAGAAACACAGAACAACCCAGAAGAAGGCAGGUAAAGAGGGAAGAGGGAACAAAGCGUGGAUGAGACAAACCGCAAGAUGACAGACUCAAACCUCAGCAUAGGACUAAGCACAUUAAACAGGAAUGUCAAAAGCAAAUACUCCAGGUAAAUGACAGAUUGGCAGGCGGGAAAAACAGAGCAAAAGCCAACAAGUCAUACAUCAUCUCUGAAAAAAAUCACUUAAAAUGACGGAAAAGAUACACCACGCUAACACCAGUCAAAAGAACGCUGGAGUGGCUGCAUUAACACAAGACAAAGUAGGUCUCAGAGCAAAGAAAAUCGCCAAGUAUAGUAUUUCACAAAGGGAGUCUACUGACAAGCAUAAUAAUCCUAAAUGCCUACACCGCUAAUAUCACAGCCUCAAAAUACAUACAACUAAGGACUGCAGGAGAAAUAGAUAAAUCCCAUAUCCUGCUAUGGACUGAGUGGUGCCCCAGCCCAUUCCUACGUGGAAGCCCUAACCCUAUUACAACUGUAUUGGAGGAAGGGCCUCUAGGAGGUAAUGAGGGUUAAAUAAAAUCAUAAGGGUGAAUUAUUAAUUCAGUAGGAUUAGUGGCCUAUAAGAAGAGAAAUAGAGAAAGAUUUUUCUCCCUGCACACAAAUCUCAAUACAUUUAAUUUAAGCAUGCUAAGGAUAAUGAAAUUCAAUCCGAAAUCAAUAGGAAAAUCUCUGGGAAUUCCUCAAAUAUUUGAAAGCUAAAUAACACACUUCUAAAAUCUGUGUAAGGAAGACUUCCAAAGGGAAAUUAGAAAGUGUUUUCAAUUGAAUGAAAGCAAAAACACAACUUAUAAUUUGUGAGAUGCAAUUGAAGCAAUACUUAAGGGGAAAUGUAUAGCACUAAAGGUCUGUGUGAGCAGAGAUCUCAAAUUAAUGACCUCAGCUUCUACCUUAACCAGCCAGAAAAAGAAGAGCACAUUAAACUUAAUGUAAGUAGAAAAAAUGAAAUAAUAAAGAUCUUAUCUAAAAUCAGUGAAACAGAAGUUAGAAAAAUGAGAAAAUUAACUUGUAAAAAGUUGGUCCUUUGAGGAGAUCAGUAAAAUUGAUAAACACCUAGCUGGGCUGACUCAGGAAAAAGAAGAAAGAUACAUUACCGGUAUCAGGAAUGAGAGAGGUGACAUCCAUACAGAUUUUACAGAUAUUAAAAGGAUAAUAAGGGCCAGGCGCAGUGGCUCACACCUGUGAUCCCAGCACUUUGGGAGGCCAAGGCAGGCAGAUUGCCUGAGAUCAGGAGUUCCAGACCAGCCUGGCCAACGUGAUAAAACCCUGUCGCUAUAAAAAAUAAAAAAAUUAGCCAAGCGUGGUGGUGCAAACCUGUAAUCCCAGCUAUUCAGGAGGCUGAGGCAGGAGAAUCACUUGAACUCAAGAGGCAAAAGGUUAUAGUGAGCCAGGUCUCACCACUGCACUCCAGCCUAGAUAAUAGAGCUAGACUGUCUCAAAGAAAAAAAACAUACAAAAAUUAGCCAGGCAUGGUGGCAGGCGCCUGUAGUCCCAGCUAUUCAGGAGGCUGAGACAGGAGAAUCACUUGAACCUUGAACCCAGGAGGUAGAGUCUGCAGUGAGCCAAGAUUGCGCCACUGCACUCUAGCCUGCUCAACAGAGCAAAACUCCAUUUCAAAAAAAAAAAGAAGAUAACAAGGAUUUUUUUUUUUUUUUUUGGAGACUGAGUUUUGUUCUUGUUGCCCAGACUCAGACUGGAGUGCAGUGGUGCGGUCUCAGCUCACUGCAACCUCCCCACCUCCCAGGUUCAAGUGUUUCUUCUGCCUCAGACUCCCAGGUAGCUGGGAUUACAGGCAUCUGCCACCCCGCCUGACUAAUUUUUUGUAUCUUUAGUAGAGAUGGGGUUUCAUCUUCUGAAUUACAGGCAUGAGCCACCACACCAGGCCAAGUUUGGUAGUUUCUUAAAGAGUUAAGUAUGAAUCCAUCAUGUGACACAGUCGUUCCCAACCUAAGUAUUUACCUAAGAUAAGUGGAAGCAUCUGUCCAAAGAUUUGUACACAAAGGUUCACAGCAGCUUUAUUGUGUAACCAAAAGCUGGAAAUGACCUGGAAGUCCACCCACAUGUGGAUGGAUAAAUGGGCUGUGUAAUGUCUAUACAGUGGGAUGGACUUUUGACACAUGCACCAUGGAUGUGUGUCAAGGAUGAACAUCCAAAGAUUUCAGACAUGGAUAAAUGUAAGAAUGAUUAUGCUGAGUGAAAGCAGCCAGACGAAAAGACUACAUGCCAUACGAUUCAUUUAUAUUAAAUUCCACAAGAUGCAAACUAAUCCACAGUGACUAGAUGAGUGGUUGCCCAGGCGCAGGGUCAUCAGUAUACUCACCUUGACUGUGGCAAGAGGUUCACAGGUACAAACAUGUCAAAAUGCACCAAAUUAUAUGUUUUAAAUGGGUGCAAUUUAUGUCAAUUACACCUCAAAAUAGAGAAAAAUGCAAAGCUUAUUUUGUACAAAGGGUUAUUUAUUUUGUAAAACUCCUCAGGGGAGUUUUACAGGGAGGACCACCCUGGUCGAGGGCCUGCACCAUCGAGGCUCUCCCUGCACGUAGGUGCUAUGGUGACUCGGCCUGGGGCUCACUCCCAGGUGCUAUGUGCACCUCAAGAGCAGGAUGGAAAGGCCCCCUCCCCACAGCCUGGCUAUCAGACUCCAGCUCAGAUGGGCACCCUGCCGCUUCCCGUCAUUUUCCAUGUGCCUGCCCAAGCUCCCAGCGUCUGAGUUCUGUCCUCUCUUGGGAAGACACCCAGGGCUAGUGCUGGGAGCAGGGGACCAGCAUGGGCCAGUCCAGUCCUGCUACCUGAACAGAGGGGCUGUGAUCCAGCGACCCAGGAAAGGUGCCAUCAGGGUGCACAGCUGAUCCCAGUGGCCAGGCCUCCCCUUGACAGAGGGGCAGGCAGGGCUGGGUCAUGGCCAGGCCUGUGCUCUGGAGCCAGACAGAGAACCAAAGCCCAGCUGCCCCAGUGACGAGCUCCACGGUCCCUGGAGUGUCACCCUGCACAUCAAUUUCCUCAUCUAUAACACGGAUCAAUGACAUUACCCGCCUGGUUACCUGCUAGGGCUAGUGGGUGAGCUGAGUCCAAGGAAGUGCUUAGAACAGUGCCUGGUAUAUGGCAGUGUAUGGAGCAUGUGGCCAUCAUUGCAGCCGACCCAGCUGGUGGCCCCAGUGGGCCUCAGUGCCUUCAAUGUCUGAGGAGCCCACCAUUCAGCACUGCCCCCAAAUGGAGGCAGCACACACUCCCCAGGACCCAUUCAGCCCUCCCAAGGAGUGGGAAGCCUCUGGAACCUGGUGCUGUCCGAGACAGGAUGUGCAGGAAGCAGGGCAGGUGUCCUCCCUAGCUCCUCACCCUUCCUAGCCAGGCAGCAGCUGAUCUGAGGUGGCUCCUUGAUCCUGGAGUCCAAAGGGGCGUUGAGGGGCUACCUGUGCUCCAAACAGCAACUGCCUUCUCAUCUGCUUCACACACAGGGGCUCUGGGUAAGAUUUCACUUCAUUUCUUUGAAACACCACUCUGCUGGGCCAGCCAAGUCUCACAGAUCCCACACUUGCAGCCCUUGACCUCAGCAUCCUCAACUUACCUGACAAUGAAGGCGGUGCUGCUCACUGACUCUAGGCAGCUGUGUGACCCCAGGGGAACCCGCUGUGGCUGAGAUCUCAGGGGUCUUGGUAAAUCUGGUAGACUCCAUGUGCAGUUCUAGUGAGCCCAAAUAUGAGGUCUGCCUGUUGGCUGGGAACCCUAAAUCUGCUUGGGCGUCAUGAGGAUCUUGCCCCAAGUGGCCUCCAGCUGGGAGAAUCUCCCUCCACCCACACCAGGGAGAGCUUGGUCAUUAUCUGCAGGGACCAACUACUCAGGACAGGCUUCAAUGAGGACACAGAUUUGAUAGCAUCCUCUCUUCAGGAAGCAGUAACUUUAAACCGGACUAGGUCUUAUGUAAUUGGCACUGUGUCCCUAAUGAAACCAAAAUAUGGUCCCAUAAUGGCUUCUUUGAGGGAGGCACAGGGCAGGUGGGCUGUCCAAAGCCUUCUUUGGAAUUUCACAGGUUUCAGAGAUGUUGGUUCAAGAGGCCUCAGUAUUAUUCAGUCAUAAAAAGGAAUACGUAAGCAAAAAUGUGGCCUAGCCAUGCAAUGGAAUAUUAUUCGGCCAUAAGAGAAUAGCAUUCUAAUACCUGCUACAACACGGAAGAACCUUGAAACACAAUGCUUAGUGAAAGAAGCCAUGCACAAAAGGUCACACAUUAUGUGAUUCCACUUACAUGAAAUAUCCAGAAUAGGUCAAUUCGAGGAGACAGAAGGGGCAUUAGAGGUUGCCAGGGAAGGGGGAUCUAGGGGGUGACUGCUAAUGAGUUCUGCUUUAGGAUAAUGAAGAUGUUCUGGAAUUAAACAGUGGUGAUGGUUGCGCACCCCUGUGAAUGUACUAAAACUAAUUAAUUCUACCCCUUAAAAUGGUGGCUUUUAUGUGAAUUAUAUCUCAAUUGCAUCUAAAUAAAUAAUAAUUUGUAAAGGCCUCAGGAGAGGAGCUGAGCAAUCAGGACUUAAUCCCUGACUUUGCACACUACCUGUCACCCACUGUCUCCAGUCCCUCAUAUUCAUCAGGAGCCUUGUGCAACACAACCUUUGCUGCCUCUGCUUGGAAUGCCAAUCUGCCUGCCUCAGCAUGUCCCAUGAGCCUGCCCAGCUCAGCUCAGUGACCCUUGGCAUCUGCUCUCCCCAUUCCAGUGUAAAGAGAGAUGGUACACAACUCAGCCUAUUAUUGAAAUGCCACCAAGAAGUACCAUGAGCACCAAUCUAGGAUAGGCAAUGUAGCUGGGUCAAGGGUAUCCAAAAGCAAUCUGAACAUACCCACUGUGUUCU